ACACAGGAAAUGAAUACAUUAAGGGAAAUGGUUAAUAAAUAGUACAAUGGGAACUGGUGUGUCAGCGAAACCUGCUUACAUGUCUUGGUUUAAACAAUAUUUUAUGUAUUUGUAUUAGAAACAGAUUGUGUUUGAUGGCUACUUUGACUACUGGGGGAAAGGGACACAAGAAACAGUAACAUGGAGAGCAAAAAUCUGUUUUCAGUGCAGUCAAUUUAUAUAGUUUGUCUACAGUGGAAACAGAACAAUGCCACUUCAACCGGACCAACUGUUUUUCCCCUAAUACCAUGUGGUUCUGGGGCUGGAGACAUGAUCACUCUUGGCUGCCUUGCCACCCGCUUCACACCCUCCUCACUGACUUUCACAUGGAACAAAAACGGGACUGCCUUGACCGACUUUGUACAGUACCCUUCAAUAGAGAAAGGCAACGUCUAUAUGGGAGUCAGUCAAAUUCAAGUGAGCAAACAGGACUGGGACGCAAGGCAGAUUUGGCAGUGUGCUGUGACACAUAUUGCAGGAAAAGCACAGACCUCUCACAUCACAAAGCCACGGGUGAUUUAUCAGCUGCCAACUCUUAAAGUGUUGGCCUCCUCUGAUGAGGAACGACGGACAGAGGACAAGGCUUCUUUCACCUGCUUUGCCAAAGAUUUUUCACCAAAAGAUUACGAGAUCAAAUGGCUGAAAGACAAUGUGGAAAUCACUGACAAAAUAUAUGAGAUCAAAACAACUACUGGGGAAACAAAGUACAAGAAUGGAACUAAGCUGUACAGCGCAGCAAGUUUUCUCACAGUGCAAUCCCGUGAUUUGCCAGCUAAGUUGACAUGUGAGUUUAAGGGGAAAAAAGAUGAGGAUGAAUUCCAUAAUUCAUCUGUGACCUAUGACUUGAAAGACACAUGUAACACUCACACAGAAUGUCCUGAAGCAGAUGUGGACAUAAACAUUGAAGGCCCCACACUGGAGGAUAUGUUUUUACACAAAAAAGGAUAUUUAAAAUGUCAUGUUAAGAUAAACAAGCGAUCUGCUGAGAGGAUUUUUUGGGAAAAGGAGAAAAAUGAAAUGAAUGGCACCUCAAUGACCCCCACUGAUGGAAGGCACAACAUACUUACCAAUCAGGCUUGACAUCAACUACGAUGAUUGGAUCAAGGGGAUAAAGCACUAUUGCAUUGUUGAACUUAAAGAUGCCUUUGAACCAUACAAGAAACUCUAUGAAAGCAAUACUGAAACCCUCAUCAAAUGGGACAGUGAUACGGAGGGAGAGGAAGAUAUCAUGGGAAACACAGCCCUCACCUUCAUCCUUCUCUUCCUCUUCACUCUGCUGUUCACCAUUGGAACCACUGCUUUCAAGGUUAAAUGAAACAAGACAAAGUUUCUGAAAAAAACAAUGACUUUUUUCACAAAUUUCUCCUAUAUUCUUGUAGUAUCAUGUUAGCAAUGAAAACUGUCCUUUCAAUUAUAAGAGCUUUGUCUUUUAAAAAAAAUAAAUGUUGAAAUGAAGAUAA